UACGUAGGGUGCGAGCGUUAAUCGGAAUUACUGGGCGUAAAGCGUGCGCAGGCGGUUUUGUAAGCCAGAUGUGAAAGCCCCGGGCUUAACCUGGGAAUGGCAUUUGGGACUGCAAGGCUGGAGUGUGGCAGAGGAGACUGGAAUUCCUGGUGUAGCAGUGAAAUGCGUAGAUAUCAGGAGGAAUACCGAUGGCGAAGGCAAUCCCCUGGGCCUGCACUGACGCUCAUGCACGAAAGCGUGGGGAGCAAACAGG
rnacentral:rRNA from 1 species